CGCGCAACGAAAGCGAAUGGCGGGACGCUCUCCCGCAGGGGGGCGGCGCCGCCGGCCGGACGUCCUCGAGGCGGACCGAGCCGGAGCGCUCGCGUCGGGACCCGAAAGGUGGUGAUCUAUCCGUGCGCGCGGCGAAGCCGGGGGAAACCCCGGUGGAGGCCCGUCGACGGUACUGACGUGCAAAUCGUUCGUCCGACGUGCGAAUAGGGGCGAAAGACCAAUCGAACCUCCUAGUAGCUGGUUUCCGCCGAAAUUUCCCUCAGGAUAGCGGCCAUCGCGGAAACGUUUUGACCGGUAGAGCGAACGACUAGAGGUACCGGGGCCGUAACGGCCUCGACCUAUUCUCGAACUCCGAACGGGCAAGGAGCCGGGGUCGCCCGAUCGGACCCCGGACGUGAAGUCGACGAUGGUCGGUGGGGCUGGUUUUGGUAAGCAGAACGGGCGAUUCGGGAUGAACCGGAAGCGGGGAG
rnacentral:rRNA from 1 species